ensembl:snRNA U6 U6 spliceosomal RNA
GUGCUCGCUUUGACAGGGCACAUAUACUAAAACUGGAACCAUACAGAGAUUACCUUGACCUGUAUACAAGGAUGACACGCACAUUUGUGAAGCAUUCCAUUUUUUG